rnacentral:miRNA from 1 species
UCAGCUCCAUGUCUGGUGAGGU